rnacentral:misc_RNA from 1 species
GUAACGGUAAGGGUUAUCAUUCCAUCACCAUUAGACUACAAAAUUGCUCAAAACGAAAAUGGAUUAAUUUACCGUUCGAAGUUCCAACUGUCAGAAGUCCAAUCCAACCGUCCACAAAAAUUCCGGUGGGAAAAAAAUGAAAAUUAAUAUAUUAAAAGGAAAAAACAAAAAAGAUUCAGCCAGAUUCCAUUCCAGUGGUUCGUUA